ACUCCUACGGGAGGCAGCAGUGGGGAAUCUUAGACGAAAUGGGGAAGCCAUCGAUCUAGCCAUGCCGCGUGAGCGAUGAAGGCCUUAGGGUUGUAAAGCUCUUUCGCUGGGGAAGAUAAUGACGGUGACCCAGUAAAGAAGUCCCGGCUAACUCCGUGCCAGCAGCCGCGGUAAUACGGAGGGGACUAGCGUUGUUCGGAAUUACUGGGCGUAAAGCGCGCGUAGGCGGAUCAGAAAGUUGGGGUGAAAU
rnacentral:rRNA from 1 species